rnacentral:rRNA from 1 species
AGUGAACGCUGGCGGUAGGCCUAACACAUGCAAGUCGAACGGCAGCACAGUAAGAGCUUGCUCUUACGGGUGGCGAGUGGCGGACGGGUGAGGAAUACAUCGGAAUCUACUUUUUCGUGGGGGAUAACGUAGGGAAACUUCCGCUACUACCUCAUACGACCUACGGGUGAAAGCAGGGGAUCUUCGGACCUUUCGCGAUUCAAUUAGCCGAUGUCGGAUUAGCUAGUUGGCGGGGUAAAGGCCCACCAAGGCGACGAUCCGUAGCUGGUCUGAGAGGAUGAUCAGCCACACUGGAACUGAGACACGGUCCAGACUCCUACGGGAGGCAGCAGUGGGGAAUAUUGGACAAUGGGCGAAAGCCUGAUCCAGCCAUACCGCGUGGGUGAAGAAGGCCUUCGGGUUGUAAAGCCCUUUUGUUGGGAAAGAAAAGAAGCAGGUUAAUACCCCGCUGUUCUGACGGUACCCAAAGAAUAAGCACCGGCUAACUUCGUG